AGCAGCCGCGGUAAUUCCAGCUCCAAUAGCGUAUAUUAAAGUUGUUGCAGUUAAAAAGCUCGUAGUUGAACUUCAGGCCUGUCCAGACGGUCCGCCUUAAUUGGUGUGUACUGUCCUUGGGUGGGUCCUACCUUCUGGCGAAGCGGCAUGGCCUUAGUUGGUUGUGUUGGGGAACCAGGACUUUUACUGUGAAAAAAUUAGAGUGUUCAAAGCAGGCAAAUAUGCUCGAAUACAUUAGCAUGGAAUAAUGGAAUAGGACGAUGGUUCUAUUUUGUUGGUUCUAGGACCGUUGUAAUGAUUAAUAGGGAUAGUUGGGGGCAUUAGUAUUCAAUUGUCAGAGGUGAAAUUCUUGGAUUUUAUUGAAGACUAACUACUGCGAAAGCAUUUGCCAAGGAUGUUUUCAUUAAUCAAGAACGAAAGUUAGGGGAUCGAAGACGAUCAGAUACCGUC
rnacentral:rRNA from 1 species